GACUCCGGUACCUCUUCCUCCUCUUCCACCGCCACCGAGGCCAUUGUCUCCGCCAUCGCUAGUCUCCGUCGCCUCUGCCAUCGCUGACCUCCGCCUAACAAUUCCUCGUUCUUCUGUUGCAGCGCUACCAUGGAAGAAGAUAAUUCGUCGAAUCCGGCUCAGAUCUCUGCCAAAACCACGGGACAGAGAAAGCAUGCUGCAAUGCUGGAACGCCUCUCGGUCCGAUCCACCUCGAGAAAACCUGAAUCCGACUCUUCCUCAUCCUUUGAAUCCACAACCUCCUUCCUUACCCGCUUCUCCAAUUCCAAGGACUCCAUCGAGUCUGAACUCGCUCGCUGCCGACUCGUCACGGACCCAGACUCGAAAUCCCAUCUCAAAUCGGACCUCGACAAGGUUUCAGCCUCCAUAGCCGAGCUUGAGAGGCUUGUUGCCGAGAACUCCUACUUCUUGCCGUCUUACGAGGUUCGAUCGUCACUCAAAACCAUCUCCGAGCUUAAACAAACCCUAGAAGAUCUGAACUCCGAACUGCUCCCUAAAAAGAAAUUCGCAUUUCGCAAUAAGAACGCAAAGAAAGAGCAGGUUACUUUGCCGAAGGACGCCGAAGCUGUGAAGUCGGAUUUCAAGAAAGUGGGCGUCACGGUCCGGGAGUCCCCGGGGAUUAGGAAUCGGGAAAAUGCGGUUCUAGUUAGGAAUUUUAAGUGUUCGGGCUCAGAUGUUGGAGAGUUUACACUUUCGGAUCUUAAUGGUUGUGAGGUGCGGUUAAUUGGUAGCUUGAGGGCAUUGUUCAUCCAUCGGUUGAGGAAUUGCAGGGUUUAUGUUGGACCUGUGUUUGGCUCCAUUUUGAUUGAGGAAGUUGAAGGGUGUGUGUUUGUAUUGGCGUCGCAUCAGAUUAGGGUUCACCAUGCAAAGGGAACUGAUUUUUUUCUAAGGGUGCGAAGUCGGCCGAUAAUUGAGGAUAGUAGUGGUGUGAGGUUUGCACCCUAUUGCUUAUCUUAUGAAGGGAUUGAACAAGAUCUUCAAGAUUCAAGUCUUGAGGAGGAGACUGGCAACUGGGCAAAUGUAGAUGAUUUUAAAUGGUUGCGAGCUGUUCACUCUCCAAAUUGGUCCAUUUUGCCUGAGAAUGAAAGGAUUGAUGCUGUCAAUAUUUCGAAUUUGGAGACAGGGAUGGAAGAUUGUUAGUUGGUUCAUUUUCAAGUUUGAUGGGCACCAUGUAUUGGAAGGGCAAGUUGAACAAUCCACAUUUUCUGUGUAGAGAGAGAGAGAGAGAGAGAGAGAGAGAGAGAGGCCAUGGAGAAAGGGGACAAGGGAGGUGCAGCAGCUGCAGGCAGAUGCUUUCCAAUGGAGAUGGUGAUGCGUUUGGUGCCAAUGGCUCUGUGCAUAGCUGCGCUUGUUGUCAUGCUCAAAACUUCAGAGUCCAAUGACUAUGGUUCUCUCUCCUACUCCAACCUUGGACCUUUCAGGUUUAUCAUCCUCCCUCUUCUUUAAUUCCCCCUCUUUAAUUUUUUGUUAUAUAUUUAUAUGCAUGUAUUCUAUAUGUUAAUACUGUGGAAUUAGCAAGAGCUUUCCCCUUUUGAUGCUUCUUUAUUUUUCGUUUGGGCAAUUUGGAGCAAAAACUGACUCCCUGCAUAUGAAGUUUGAAAUUUGUUUGGUGACUUUUAGUUUAAUAAUUUGUAUUCAUAUUAAUAAAGGUCACAUGUGGAACUUGAAAAGUAUUAAAAGAAAGAAAAAUCUGAAAGAUUUUAAUUUUUUUACAAUUCUGCCCUAAUAAUUUUUUAUUUUUAAUUGUAUUUAGUAUGAAGAGAAAAUAUAAAAAAAAUUAAUUUUCUUUUUACUUAUUUUUUCUUUCCUCUAAUAAAAUUCUUGAUUCGGAUG